AUAUAUAUAUAUAUAUAUGCCAUCAGUUUAAGAACAAUAAAAUAAACAAUUUACUUAGCAAAUGGUGAUAAUGUUUGUUAAUGAAAGAGAGUACGGGACAAAUUAACAUUUAAACCUUAAACUAGCAGCGCACGUCACUUUCUGAGUGAAGUGCGCGACGUGCGCGUGCCCGUCAUUUUGUAACGGUCAACUUCCAGCAGACGGACACGGAGGAAAGGUAAGUCCUAUAAAUCUACUUUUAUUCAUAGAUUUUAACUGAUAUAACGUUAAAUGCCAUCAAAGAGGAGUAGUGUUUUGUAUUUUUGUAGGUUUUCUCUUUCAAUUUAAUAAAUAAAUGCUCUGUUUGGUUAAUUAGCUCAAAAUCAGUCUCAGAGGUGGUCUAAGGUAACGGUAACUGUUAAAAUCGAAUAUAACCUUACCUGUUUUAAAUUAUUUGAAAUUUAUCACUGUAAACUAUACAGUAUUAACUUUCUAAUAAUUAAAUUUUUAACCGUAGUAACGUUAAUUAGUUUGUUUGAAUACCUGCUGCUUGAGCUUGAUGAUGCUCAUGCUAUCCAUGCUGUGAACUUGAAUAUAAUCCGAUAUAACGUUAAAUAUAAAGUUUAACGUUAAUUAGACCGAUGCUGCCGAAAUCAUGUUCAGUGUAACGUUAUGUGGGAUUAAUAAUUUCCCCUUUUCUCCCUCAAGUGGCAGGCUUGUAAACUCUGUCAUCUGUUCAUUAUUGGUGUUGAUGGUGUUUUUCACAUGCAUGCUUUUUAAUGCUAGUUUAAUUCUCAAAUUGAUCUGAUACUUUCGUUUCACAAAAAGUAAACAAAUUGUUCACUUUCUUAGGGCCUGACAACCACCAGUUGAGUCCAUGAUUCAGGGAAGAGACAGUCUGGGCAGCAGCAACAAGACAACUAUUACAAGUAGAGAUGGGUUUCAAGAACUGACACAACCACAUAUCCUCCAAAUCAUCUCUGCGUGGAUGGCAGCAAGGAUCCAGGAUCAAGAGAUCAUUCUUCAUGGAGACUGUUCCGCAGGAAGCAGUUUCUCCUGGGUGAAAAACUAAACCUGGUUGUUUCAGCAUCACUCAGGCAAGACUAAAUACUUUUAAAUUGAUUUCAGUUGGUUAUGUGUUUCAGGUCAUCUUGACCAUUCUGCUGUCCUGGAUGUAAGGCCGUGCUGGAACUACAUUUCUCGUGGUUGAAAGAUUUGUGCAGCGGUAUCCAGACAUAUAACGCCCCAUCACACGGGGCGUGAACGCCUCUCGUUUACUUUUAAAUGAAGUGACGUCAAGCAUGGUGAAAUUAAUUCUAGAAAUUAAUUCUAAAUAGAAGUUGAAGACUUUUCAAGCACCAAUGCAGCCGUCCUCCAGUCAGAACAUCUUAUGCAAAUACCCAAGCGCAGACGCAAGCCAAUCGAGUGCAUGCAAUACCAGAAAACUAAUGUGAUUGGCUGUCACUAUGAGAAGAGACAGUAAUUCUGAUCCGAUAUCAGUGUCGUUUUUUGCAAAAAAAAAUUUAAAUCAAUGUAGAAUUUUCUAUACUUCUGUGUAGGGAUGUCAAUUUUCAAUCAUUUCCAUGAUCGAUCGUCGUUUAAAUUAACAAUCAAAUAAUCGAUUAAUCGUUAACCUUAAUGCUGCAAAGUCUAUUGCAGUAACACCCAGUCACUGGUAUGACAGGAUGUGCAAAAGUGUGUGUGUGUGUGUGUGUAUAUUAUAUAUAUAUAUA